AGUGCUUCAUGGACUGCUACACGUCAAGGUGCAGCCACCCCGCCGUUGUUCUUGCUCAUCCAUGGUCAGGUGCCUCUAGAUCAUGGAGGAGGUAGAACAUCAAAUCGAACACAAAGCUGAGGUGGAAGAUGAAGGGGCCGCGAGGCUAAGAACUAUUUGCUGCCCUGCGAUUUGGGAUGGGAAAGAAUUGAGAUCAAGAUCUUCUCGUCUCGCAUUGUGAAGAAAAUGAUCACCCCGAUUCCUCCGGUGUUUCGUUGGUCCUAGCCCCAGUGGUAUUGGUGUUCUUAUGGUCCUGAAGACUACCGAGACGAUGAGUCUGGUGUUGUUGACACUUCGAGCGUGAAGCCUGUAUUAGGGAAGGGGAGUAGGCCUGGAAGACGUCCCAGGAUGAGGGGACUCGUUUGCC